UACGUAGGGAGCGAGCGUUGUCCGAAGUUACUGGCGUAAAGCGCGCGUAGGCGGGCUGUUAAGUGAGAGGUGAAAGGCUGGGGCUCAACCCCAUGCAGUGCCUCUCAUACUGGCGGUCUUGAGUGCGGCAGGGAGAAGUGGAAUGGCUGGUGUAGCGGUGAAAUGCGUAGAUAUCAGUCGGAACACCGGUGGCGAAGGCGGCUUCUUGGGCCUGGACUGACGCUGAGGCGCGAAAGCUGGGGGGAGCGAACGGG
rnacentral:rRNA from 1 species